CACAGCUAUCUACCCUCACCACAGCUAUCCAACAAAUUCCAUUCCUCAGAGAUUUGCAGAGUGCCUGCUACCUGCAAGGCACUAUACUGUUUAUUUCCAAUGCUGACAUAAAAGGUCACAUAAUUUUCAGUGCAAUCUUCAGCCAUGGAUCCCCAAGAAACUCUUCUAAGUUUGUGUGCUAUAAUAGUGUGAAGCAAAGGUCUGACACAACUAGCAGAAGGCACUUACGUAUGACAUGUGAAAUGUGGACAUGAUCAGCGAACACAAGAGUAACUCGAUGGGGUGUCUGGGGAACCUGCUUUUUCA